rnacentral:rRNA from 1 species
AAUAUUGGACAAUGGGCGCAAGCCUGAUCCAUCUAUGCCUCGUGUGUGAAGAAGGUCUUCGGAUUGUAAUGCUCUUUAUUUUGGGAGGAAGGGCAGUUAACGAAUACUUAACUGUUUUGACGUUACCAAAAGAAUAAGCACCGUCUAACUUCGUGCCUGCAUCCUCGGUAAUACGAAGGGUGAAAGCGUUAAUCGGAAUAACUGUGAGUAAAGCGCGCGGAGGUGGUUCGUUAAGUUGGAAGUGAAAGCCCCGGGCUCAACCUGGGAAUUGCUUUCAAAACUGGCGAGAUAGAGUACGGUAGAGGGUGGUGGAAUUUCCUGUGUAGCGGUGAAAUGCGUAGAUAUAGGAAGGAACAUCAGUGGCGAAGGCGACCACCUGGACUGAUACUGACACUGAGGUGCGAAAGCGUGGGGAGCAAACAGG